rnacentral:rRNA from 1 species
CAGCAGCCGCGGUAAAACAGAGGGUGCAAGCGUUAAUCGGAAUUACUGGGCGUAAAGCGCGCGUAGGUGGUUUGUUAAGUUGAAUGUGAAAUCCCCGGGCUCAACCUGGGAACUGCAUCCAAAACUGGCAAGCUAGAGUAGGGCAGAGGGUGGUGGAAUUUCCUGUGUAGCGGUGAAAUGCGUAGAUAUAGGAAGGAACACCAGUGGCGAAGGCGACCACCUGGGCUCAUACUGACACUGAGGUGCGAAAGCGUGGGGAGCAAACAGGAUUAGAUACCCGUGUAGUCCCUGUCUCUUAUAC